rnacentral:rRNA from 1 species
UGGGGAAUUUUGGACAAUGGGCGCAAGCCUGAUCCAGCCAUGCCGCGUGAGUGAAGAAGGCCUUCGGGUUGUAAAGCUCUUUCGGUGGGGACGAAAAGGUUCGUGCUAAUACCACGAACUAAUGACGGUACCCGAAGAAGAAGCACCGGCUAACUACGUGCCAGCAGCCGCGGUAAUACGUAGGGUGCAGGCGUUAAUCGGAAUUACUGGGCGUAAAGCGUGCGCAGGCGGUUUGUUAAGACAGAUGUGAAAUCCCCGGGCUUAACCUGGGAACUGCGUUUGUAACUGGCAAGCUAGAGUGUGGCAGAGGGGGGUGGAAUUCCAAGUGUAGCAGUGAAAUGCGUAGAUAUUUGGAGGAACACCAAUGGCGAAGGCAGCCCCCUGGGUCAACACUGACGCUCAUGCACGAAAGCGUGGGGAGCAAACAGGAUUAGAUACCCCAGUAGUCCCUGAGCGGGCUGGCAAGGCGCAU